rnacentral:rRNA from 1 species
UAGGGAAUCUUCCGCAAUGGGCGAAAGCUUGACGGAGCAACGCCGCGUGAGUGAUGAAGGUCUUCGGAUCGUAAAACUCUGUUAUUAGGGAAGAACAAAUGUGUAAGUAACUAUGCACGUCUUGACGGUACCUAAUCAGAAAGCCACGGCUAACUACGUGCCAGCAGUCGCGGUAAUACGUAGGUGGCAAGCGUUAUCCGGAAUUUUUGGGCGUAAAGCGCGCGUAGGCGGUUUUUUAAGUCUGAUGUGAAAGCCCACGGCUCAACCGUGGAGGGUCAUUGGGAACUGGAGAACUUGAGUGCAGAAGAGGAAAGUGGAAUUCCAUGUGUAGCGGUGGAAUGCGCAGAGAUAUGGAGGAACACCAGUGACGAAGGCGACGUUCUGAUCUGUAACUGACGCUGAUGUGCGAAAGCGUGGGGAUCAAACAGG